GCCCGCUCCACCCCGCUGGCCUUGAAAGCCAGAGGCUCAAUCGAGCCGUCCGGGCCGGGCGAACAGAAGAGGGCUGAGAAAGCGGCCACGAAAGACGCGCUGUCGGCGGCGGCUCUCGUGGAUUUCCACCACGUGCGGAGCAAAGGAAACCUCCUCAGUUCGCUCCAGCGCGGCAAAGGAGGGAUUGGAAUGUCUCCUCAACUCUGAUGAAGGAAGAAGGGCUCAACACACACCCUGGAAGAGGCAAGGCAUGGAGUUGUGGUCUCUGCAGUGAUAAGUGCUGAGACAUAAGAUGAUCUGAAAGUUGGAAGAAUCCUGUUGGAUCCCAUUCAGCAACCUGUUUCCCAAAGUGAUAAACCACAUGUCCUCUAAAAGUCUAUAAUGUUAUAGGUUGCACCAGAGAGUCUAAACCAAUUUAAUUGUAUAUAUGAUGUACAAUGACAAUAAAGGCUAUACUACUAC